rnacentral:rRNA from 1 species
ACCAGACCAAACCCAAUCAAACUCCGAAUGCCACGAACUGCUGUCCGGGAGACAGGCGUCGGGAGCUAAGUUCCGGCGCCGAGGGGGAAAGAGCCCAGACCGCCAGCUAAGGUCCCAAAAUUCACGCUAAGUGGUAAAGGAUGUGGGAGCGCAUAUUGACAACCAGGAAGUUGGCUUAGAAGCAGCCAUCCUUUAAAGAAAGCGUAAUAGCUCACUAGUCGAGACAAGCCGCGCCGAAAAUGUAACGGGGCUAAGCCUGAUACCGAAGCUACGGGUCAUUCAAGUUAAGACUUGAAUGGCGGUAGGGGAGCGUUGAAACUGCUGCGAAGCACGAUGGUAAUGGCGUGUGGAGCGGCUUCAAGUGCUGAUGCCGAAAUGAGUAGCGAUAAGGGAUGUGAGAAUCAUCCCCCCCGUAAACCUAAGGUUUCCUGGGUCAAGUCAAUCUUCCCAGGGUUAGCCGGAACCUAAGCCGAGCCCGAAAGGGGUAGGUGAUGGAAAGCAGGUUAAUAUUCCUGCGCCGGCUGUUAGGCGUUGAACUGAGGGGCGACGGAGAAAGUUAGUCGAGCUGGCGAGUGGUAGUGCCAGUCUAAGACCGUAGGGGUGUCUCGUACGAAUAAAGGCGGGACAGUCAUCUCUGAAAGUCGAAUGCGAGCGCGUCAGCGCAGAGUCGAUAAUACUAAGCUUCCAAGAAAAACCUCGCAGGGAGCCUGACGGUCGUCCGUACCGUAAACCGACACAGGUGGGUGAGGCGAAUAGCCUCAGGGGCCCGAGAGAACUCUCCUCCAAGGAACUAGGCAAAUUGACACCGUAACUUCGGAAGAAGGUGUGCCCACUUCGGUGGGCCGCAGAGAAUAGGGGGUAGCGACUGUUUACCAAAAACACAGGACUCUGCGAAGGCGAGAAGCCGACGUAUAGGGUCUGACUCCUGCCCGGUGCUGGAAGGUUAAGGGAAGCCCCGGUGAACGGCGGCCGUAACUAUAACGGUCCUAAGGUAGCGAAAUUCCUUGUCGGGUAAGUUCCGACCCGCACGAAUGGUGUAACGACUUGGGCACUGUCUCAACGAUGGACCCGGCGAAAUUGAACUAUGCGUGAAGAUGCGCAUUACCCGCAGCAGGACAAAAAGACCCCGUGGAGCUUUACUGUAGCCUGUCAUUGCGUUAGGGCAUGUUCUGUGUAGGAUAGCUGGGAGACAGCGAAACCUGGUCGCUAGAUUGGGUGGAGUCGCCGGUGAAAUACCAGCCUGAAGAUGUUUUGACCCUAACUUCGAACUACUGAAUCGUAGCGGAGGACAGUGGCAGGUGGGCAGUUUGACUGGGGCGGUCGCCUCCCAAAGAGUAACGGAGGCGCCCAAAGGUUACCCUCAGCACGAAUGGUAACCGUGCGCAGAGUGCAUUGGC